GGCGCAUUCGUCUAGUCGGUCCAGGACGUGAGAUUCUCAUUCUCAAAAUCAAGGGUUCGAAUCCCUUAUGCGCUA
rnacentral:tRNA from 1 species